AUGAAGAACGCAGCGAAAUGCGAUACCUGGUGUGAAUUGCAGAAUCCCGCGAACCAUCGAGUCUUUGAACGCAAGUUGCGCCCGAGGCCACCCGGCCGAGGGCACGCCUGCCUGGGCGUCACGCCAAAACACGCUCCCACCCCCCCUCACCGGGGGAGCGGGACGCGGCGUCUGGCCCCCCGUGCCGCGAGGCGCGGUGGGCCGAAGAUCGGGCUGCCGGCGUACCGUGCCGGGCACAGCGCGUGGUGGAUCUCUACUCGGCGCAGUGCACCCGGCGCGUAGCCGGCGCAGCGGCCCCUAAGGACCCAACGAACGGAGCGCGAGCCGCUCCGACCGCGACCCCAGGUCAGGCGGGACUACCCGCUGAGUUUAAGCAUAUCAAUAAGCGGAGGA
rnacentral:misc_RNA from 1 species